rnacentral:ncRNA from 1 species
UCGCCCACAAUCUGUUCAAACGGUUUCAACACGGAUGUGUUGGGUGCGGUGUGUUUUUAAUGACCACGUGCCCUGCUUUUCGGCCUUGCCGAAACCCUCUCCUGGGACAUCUUUGCUGGGGUCGUUCUUCGGUCCAAACGCGGUAUCGAAGUUGUUCCCACCUUUGGUCUCCUCGCGCUAACCCCGUAGCGUGUGGUUUUUAGCGGGCUCCAGGCCCGCUUUUUUUU